rnacentral:rRNA from 1 species
AUUGAACGCUGGCGGCAGGCCUAACACAUGCAAGUCGAACGAGUGGCGGACGGGUGGGUAAGUUCUGGGAACCUGCCUGAUGGAGGGGGUAAACUACUGGAACCGGUAGCUAAUACCGCAUACAUUCGGAUGUGCCAAGAUGGGAUUAGCUAGUAGGUGGGGUAACGGCUCACCUAGGCGACGAUCCCUAGCUGGUCUGAGAGGAUGACCAGCCACACUGGAACUGAGACACGGUCCAGACUCCUACGGGAGGCAGCAGUGGGGAAUAUUGCACAAUGGGCGCAAGCCUGAUGCAGCCAUGCCGCGUGUAUGAAGAAGGCCUUCGGGUUGUAAAGUACUUUCAGCGAGGAGGCGUUACCCGCAGAAGAAGCACCGGCUAACUCCGUGCCAGCAGCCGCGGUAAUAC